CUACAGACUGUCAACACACUCUCAACAGUUUUCUGGUCAUAUGUAAGUGUGAGCAGCUCUGUUAAGCUGAGGAUCCUUCUCCUCUUCUCCACUAAAUGCAUCACAUCCCACAACCUC